AUUGAACGCUGGCGGCAUGCUUUACACAUGCAAGUCGAACGGCAGCGCGGGCUUCGGCCUGGCGGCGAGUGGCGAACGGGUGAGUAAUACAUCGGAACGUGCCCAGUAGUGGGGGAUAGCCCGGCGAAAGCCGGAGUAAUACCGCAUACGACCUGAGGGUGAAAGCGGGGGGUCUUCGGACCUCGCGCGAUUGGAGCGGCCGUUGGCAGAUUAGCGAGUUGGUGGGGUAAAGGCCUACCAAGGCGACGAUCUGUAGCUGGUCUGAGAGGACGACCAGCCACACUGGGGCUGAGACGCGGCCCAGAGUCCUACGGGAGGCAGCAGUGGGGAAGUGUGGACACUGGGCGAAAGACUGAUCCAGGAAUGCCGGGUGUGUGAAGGAGGCCUUCGGGUUGUAAAGCACUUUUGGCGGGGACGAAAAGGACUGUGCCAAUACCACGGUUGGAUGACGGUACCCGCAGAAUAAGCACCGGCUAACUACGUG
rnacentral:rRNA from 1 species